rnacentral:tRNA from 1 species
UAAUAAAGGAAUAACCACACAUUCAUUUUUGGGGUAUGAACCCAACAGCUUAAACUUUAGCUUACUUUAUU